GAUGAACGCUGGCGGCGUGCUUAACACAUGCAAGUCGAACGAUGAAGCCCAGCUUGCUGGGUGGAUUAGUGGCGAACGGGUGAGUAACACGUGAGUAACCUGCCCUUGACUCUGGGAUAAGCCUGGGAAACGGGGGCUAAUACCGGAUAGGAGCCUCCACCGCAUGGUGGGUGUUUGGAAGGUUUAUCGGUUUUGGGUUGACUCGCGGCCUAUCAGCUUGUUGGUGGGGUAAUGGCUCACCAAGGCGACGACGGGUAGCCGGCCUGAGAGGGUGACCGGCCACACUGGGACUGAGACACGGCCCAGACUCCUACGGGAGGCAGCAGUGGGGAAUAUUGCACAAUGGGCGCAAGCCUGAUGCAGCGACGCCGCGUGAGGGAUGACGGCCUUCGGGUUGUAAACCUCUUUCAGUAGGGAAGAAGCGCAAGUGACGGUACCUGCAGAAGAAGCACCGGCUAACUACGUG
rnacentral:rRNA from 1 species